AAAGAAGCUCGUUGCUACGUAUACUGAAGUACACAAGGUGAUUGAUGUCCGGACUAUGGGCUUCAUCAGUGAAGGAUCUUCCAGCUCAUUCUCUAUCGGGUGAACUAUAGAGAAAGUUGAGCAACGAGAAAAUAAUAAGCCUGCAGGCAGAGGCUACGGCAAACCAGAUUUAAAUACAACUAUACAAGGUCAAGAAUAGAAUAUCGUGAAAAACAUUCUCUUUGGCAAAUAACGGAAGAAUAUACUGCACCUCCGUUAAAUUAAGGAGAUUCCGGCCGGCGCCGGAGAAGGUGUCGCCGGCCAAUCCGGAGUAGGAACUGGUCUUUGCGGCGCGGCUGAAGCGGAGGAUCAUCUCUAUCGAUUUCUCCGUCAGGAAUCCGGCGAGA